GUUAAGGAACAUAGGUCGUGUAUCCCUCCGCCACUGCUAUUUCUGCGAUUUCUGCUACUUCCGCGAUUUCUGCUACUUCUGCGAUUUCUGCUACUUCUGCGAUUUCUGUGACUUCUGCUACUUCUGCGAUUUCUGUGAUUCCUGCGAUUUCUGCGACUUACCACCGUAUGAAAAAGUUACAUCUGUCAACACAGAAAAUUUCAUCUCAACAAACCUGUCAUUGGCAAGUACCUGAACUACAUUUCAGUCACUCAGUAAAGUGAUAACUCAAAAUAUCAUUGUCAACAGAUCUGAAGAAAUUGCCACUGCGUCUUUAGACCGUUUUCGUCAGACGAGAGACACAGUUCUGACUCUGAUUACUGGUUGCUGUACGUAUCUACCCACAUCAAGGCUGUUUUUGAGAGAGACUCGUGAAGUUUCAAGACAGCUCUUAGAGGAUUUGCAGUUUAAAAGUGAAAUAAUUGUGAAAUAAGUGUGUGAAUGAUUAA